rnacentral:rRNA from 1 species
UACGGAGGGGGCUAGCGUUGUUCGGAAUUACUGGGCGUAAAGCGUACGUAGGCGGCUUUGUAAGUUAGAGGUGAAAGCCCGGGGCUCAACUCCGGAAUUGCCUUUAAGACUGCAUCGCUUGAAUCAUGGAGAGGUUAGUGGAAUUCCGAGUGUAGAGGUGAAAUUCGUAGAUAUUUCGGAAAGAACACCAGUGGCGAAGGCGACUAACUGGACAUGUAUUGACGCUGAGGUA